rnacentral:rRNA from 1 species
AGCGACAGGCUUAACACAUGCAAGUCGAGGGGCAGCGGGGGAGUGGCAACACUUCCGCCGGCGACCGGCGCACGGGUGAGUAACACGUAUGAAACCUGCCCGCAGCAGGGGGAUAAGCGGAAGAAAUUCCGUCUAAUACCGCGUAACAACCGACGGGGGCAUCCCUGUUGGUUCAAAGGAGCGAUCCGGCUGCGGAUGGUCAUGCGGCGCAUUAGCUAGUUGGCGGGGCAACGGCCCACCAAGGCGACGACGCGUAGGGGUUCUGAGAGGAAGGUCCCCCACACUGGUACUGAGACACGGACCAGACUCCUACGGGAGGCAGCAGUGAGGAAUAUUGGUCAAUGGCCGAGAGGCUGAACCAGCCAAGUCGCGUAAGGGAUGACGGCCCUACGGGUUGUAAACCUCUUUUGCCGGGGAGCAAAGAGCGGGACGCGUCCCGCCUCGAGAGUACCCGGAGAAAAAGCAUCGGCUAACUCCGUGCCAGCAGCCGCGGUAAUACGGAGGAUGCGAGCGUUAUCCGGAUUUAUUGGGUUUAAAGGGUGCGCAGGCGGAAGCGCAAGUCAGCGGUAAAAUUGAGAGGCUCAACCUCUUCCCGCCGUUGAAACUGCGUUUCUUGAGUGGGCGAGAAGUACGCGGAAUGCGUGGUGUAGCGGUGAAAUGCAUAGAUAUCACGCAGAACUCCGAUUGCGAAGGCAGCGUACCGGCGCCCAACUGACGCUCAUGCACGAAAGCGUGGGUAUCGAACAGGAUUAGAUACCCUGGUAGUCCACGCAGUAAACGAUGAAUACUCGCUGUCCGGGGAGAUUGGUCUCUGGGCGGCCAAGCGAAAGCGUUAAGUAUUCCACCUGGGGAGUACGCCGGCAACGGUGAAACUCAAAGGAAUUGACGGGGGCCCGCACAAGCGGAGGAACAUGUGGUUUAAUUCGAAGCAACGCGAAGAACCUUACCAGGCCUUGACAUCCCGGCGACAGAACAUGUAAUGUGUUUUCCCUUCGGGGCGCCGGUGACAGGUGGUGCAUGGUUGUCGUCAGCUCGUGUCGUGAGAUGUUGGGUUAAGUCCCGCAACGAGCGCAACCCCUGUUCCCAGUAGCCAGCGGGAGAGCCGGGCACUCUGGGGAGACUGCCGGGGACAACCCGGAGGAAGGCGGGGAUGACGUCAAAUCAUCAUGCCCCUUAUGGCCUGGGCUACACACGUGCUACAAUGACGCAGACAGAGGGAGGCGAGGCCGCGAGGCGGAGCAAAUCCCAGAAAAGGCGUCCCAGUUCGGACUGCAGCCUGCAACCCGGCUGCACGAAGCCGGAAUCGCUAGUAAUCGCGGAUCAGAAUGCCGCGGUGAAUACGUUCCCGGGUCUU